rnacentral:rRNA from 1 species
GACGAACGCUGGCGGCGUGCUUAACACAUGCAAGUCGAACGAUGAAGAAAAGAAUCGAAGCUUCGGCAGAAAUUCAUUUCGGAUUAGUGGCAGACGGGUGAGUAACGCGUGAGCAACCUACCUCUUACAAAGGGAUAGCCUCGGGAAACCGGGAUUAAUACCAUAUAACAUUGCGACGAAGCAUUUCGAUGCAAUCAAAGCUACGGCGGUAAGAGAUGGGCUCGCGUCCCAUUAAUCGGGUGGUGAGGUAACGGCUCACCAUAGUGACGAUGGGUAACCGGGAUGAGAGAGUGAACGGUCACACUGGAACUGAGACACGGUCCAGAAUCCUACGGGAAGCAGCAAUGGGGAAUAUUGCAAAAUGGAGGGAACGCUGAUGCAGCGACGCCGCGAGAGUGAUGAAGGAAGUCGUUACGUAAAACUCUGUUCUAUGGGAAGAAAAGGACUGUACCAUAGGAGAAAGCUCCGGCUAAAUACGUG